rnacentral:rRNA from 1 species
GACGAACGCUGGCGGCGUGCUUAACACAUGCAAGUCGAACGAUGAAGAAGAGCUUGCUCUUCGGAUUAGUGGCGAACGGGUGAGUAACACGUGACUAACCUGCCCCUUUCUCUGGGAUAACGCUCCGAAAGGAGUGCUAAUACCGGAUACUCACAUCGAGGCACAUGCCUUGAUGUGGAAAGUUUUUCGGAAAGGGAUGGAGUCGCGGCCUAUCAGCUUGUUGGUGAGGUAACGGCUCACCAAGGCGACGACGGGUAGCCGGCCUGAGAGGGCGACCGGCCACACUGGGACUGGGACACGGCCCAGACUCCCACUGGAGGCAGCAGUGGGGAAUAUUGCACAAUGGGCGAAAGCCUGAUGCAGCGACGCCGCGUGAGGGAUGAAGGUCUUCGGAUUGUAAACCUCUUUCAGUAGGGACGAAGCGAAAGUGACGGUACCUAAAGAAGAAGCACCGGCUAACUACGUGCCAGCAGCCGCCGUAA